rnacentral:lncRNA from 1 species
CUUUUUUCCCAUCAUCGUCUGCAACAAACAGCCUAUCUCUAAGAAUCCUAAUUACGUCGCCAUAAAUUCCCUAAGCUGUUGUGGUGGCGCCGGUCACCAAACCUUACCCCAUUAACACCCUAGGCUCUCCUUCUCAUCCUCUAUCUAAAUAUAUAACUCAUUUCCUUCGAAUCACAACUCAGCUGCUCGAAUCUUGAUUUAAUGAUCAGACUCAAAACCCCAGUUCAUCCAAACUUUCCCAAAAUCACACCCUACAAUCCCCGGACUUCCUCACCCCUAAUCCCUACCUAAAUUCCUUCAAACCCCAUUGAAUUUUGAAAAAUAUUUAAUCUAGGGUUCACACGUUUUUACGCUAUUGUGAAGAUUUUCAAAUCGAUGAUUUAUAGUUAAUAUUAUAGAUCAAUUUUUUGACAAAAAAGAUGUAUAAUAUUAACAGUAAAUCAUUUUUGGACAGUUUUCUUAUGAAGUCCAAAAUCAGUAAGGUUUCUUUUCGAUCUUUACUUCUUUUUAACAUUCUCAUGAGUUUUAGGUUUUGAUUAGUUUAAUUAGUGCUCUUGAUUGUUAGCUAACUUUAUUUCAUUUGUUUUUCUGUGUUAAUAUUAGUCGAUCUUAGUCUAACUAUGUUCAUUUAAGUUAGUCUUAGCAUAAUUUUGAUUACUCAAUUGAAUCAAUUUUAUUUUCAUAGUAUUUAACUUCCAGUUUAGUUUUCAGUUUUUCGUUUGAUUCUAUUCUGAUUUCUCGUGUUCUGAUUUGGUUCUUGAAGCAUCUUCCUGGCUGUUUGGAUUUAGCUCAUUUUGGUUUUUUCUUAGUUCAAAUCUAAUUUUAGUUUAAUUCUGUAGGAUUUAUUAUGCUGAUUUUAGAUUUAAUACUUGGUAAUUGUUCUGUGUUUAGUUUGAUUCUUCUUCUUUUAAAUUAGUUUGCCUUCAUUUAGUUUAGUCUAGUGUUGAUUAAUCAGAAAUUUCUUUAGUUUGGUAAUUUGUCUUAACUAGUUUAGGUUUAGUUUGUUGGGUUAAAGUGUUAAUCUCAAUGUUGCACUAAGCCCAGCGGGCUUUGGUUGGGUAGUAAUUUCAGGGAGAAAAUAUGAGUAGUUUAGGCAUAGAAAAGGACAGUUUUAUUGAAUAGUAAUUUCCAAACAAAGGCAAGGGUCGUAUAGGUAUUGUAUGAGUAGAAGAACACCCAAGGGCCUUCUGGAAGGGCCUUUAGUGUAAGUUUCUACAUUUUUAAUGAAGCAACUUGGGUAACAAGCCACAAAUUCAAGGAUUAAUUACCAAUUUCUGAAAAUAAAAAGGGGGAAAAUGUGUGAAAGGGUGCAGAACUUUCUGCCCCGUUAUGGCUUAUAAAAGGCCGCCCUAGUACCUUCACUAAGGGAUUUUUUGGACUCCCUAGAAAUACCCAAAGUUCCAGCCAUCUGAUUCCUCCAAAAUCCUUCUAUAAUUUCCAAAUCUAUGUUUUAUUUUUGAAAUUCAAACAUUAAAAACCCCCAAAACAAUAAAAAUCAUUAGAAAACUAAAAACAAUUUAGGAGCACUGUUCCAUUGCAAAUUUUAGUCAACUUUGAGCUUCAUAUUUGAGAGUGCAUCACUUAGAGAUUCAGUAGUGUGGUUGUUUCAUUUCAAGCUGUUUGAAGAUCUAUUGGUUUUCAUUUUCUGCUGUGUUUGGGUCUGCUGUAUGAGUUUCAUUUGGGUUUCAAAUCAAUUUCGAUCUUUGAGCUAUUUCUGGGUUGGAAUUGCAUUGUCUGUUGCUGCUGUGCUAAUUUCUUCUUCUUCUUCUUCUUCUAUUGAAUUCUGCUCCCCAGGUACACAACUUGAGACUCUAUGGUUUUAACUUGACAUGGUUGAAACAUGGAAUAAACUGAGAAGGAUUCUCUUGUUGUGGAUAAACAUUCUGAUAUUUAUGUCGCUUUAAAACACUAUUCUGUGAUUCAAUUGUUUGGUUGUGAUGCUUGAAAUUCAUUAAUAAUCCUAGACUCAUUCAUAGAUGUGUAGACUAUUGAAUUAUCCUUCUAAAUAGUGAACCUGCGUUGCAACCUUAAUGUGAGUUAAUUUGAUUUCCUAGUAUAAUGUGGUGUGGUACAAAGUGGCUUGCCUCCAGUAGUAUUUUUGUUUAUAUAAGUUAAACAGUUUAUAUUCCAGUAUGCUAGCUCAUGUGUCCAGCUUUGAAAUCGUGUGUAAAUAACAUUAGUCCAAGCAGUUUAUUUUCUAUCUUUCAAUGAUAAUGAAUGGGGUUAAUUCUUAGACACCUGAAUUAUUCUUCAAUUUCUAGUUUAUUUCGCAUUUUGGGAGUAAAGCAGUAAUUGAAUAAGACACAUAGAAUAUAAAAUUCAUCUAUGCAGAUAUCAGUAGGCAUGGGCUUAAUUUGAGUGGUGUAGCAAUUAGUUUGUCUAUGUGAAUUGGGCUGCAUUUGUACUUGUGGGGAUUCGAUCCAUGGUUGGAUGCCACGCCAGCCUGGGCCAUCUUCCACUCAUGUUGGCCUUAGCAAUUGGGCUGCAUUGGAGCCCAUUAUGAAAGCCAACUUGUUGUUUGAGUUUGGGCCACAAGAAUUCAUUUCCUAAUUUUACUUGGAAUAAUUCACUUCUUGUUUAAUUAAGUUUUCUUCUUCUAGAAACAAAUACUAGACAGAAAAUCGUAGUCAGUUUAAAGAUGGUCUUUUAAUAAACGAAGAGACGAGUCUCGCCGAAUAAAAUGUACAAAUUGCGGGGCCCUCUAUAAAUGCUAUAUGAAAAUACUUAGAAUUCGAGAGGGCGGUUUAGCGAAUUUCACGGCAUUCCCCAAAAUAAUAAUACGUUAAAUUCUUUAAGCACGACUUUAAUAAAAUUACAUUCUUAAGUUUGGGUGCACAUUUAUGUGAUCCAAAUCCAAAUCUCAGCAGAGUCCGAACGUGUUUAUAACCAAAGGUGCAUUGAUUGCGACAUGGUUCGACACGCGCUUACAAGACGUUGUAAUUCAUUUAAAAAUAAUGACCAAAGCGAUUUACGAAUAAAAGAUACAUAAGCUAGUAUGUAUUAUAAUUAGAUAAAAUCAAAUAUAAUAGUUAAGCGACCGUGCUAGAACCACAAAGCCCGCGAAUGCCUAACACCUUCUGCCGGGUUAACAGAAUUCCUUAUCCGGAUUUCUGGUUCGCAGACUGUAAUACAGAGUCAUAUCUUUCCUCGGUUCAGGAUUAAACCGGUGACUUGGGAUGCCAUUACUCUCCCAAGUGGUGAAUCUGAAAAAUUAAUAACUAAAUUCCGUUCCGAUUGUCCUUUAAUUGGAAAAACUCCUUUAUGCCCUUGUGGGUGUAGUGAAAAAGGAGGUGUGACAACUCUGACGAUUCUGCUAGGGAGAAGAACCCAAAACGUUUUGUUCAGGGUUAAUAAUUCGAGCUUAGAUUAAUUGUUGUAUUUGGCUAUAUCUGAUUUUCCUAUAUGUUUCAAGCUAUAUAUGCUAAAUGUUACCGCUUUUAUGUUAUCUAAACUGUGCCGACACCCUUCUCUUCUCACCUCUAGGGAUGUGCUUGCUGGUUAAGACUCUCUAUUCUGUUAGUGUCAUAUCCUGAAUUAAGAAAGAGACUGGAUAAGUUACUAAGCCGGAUGGCCUUUUGGUUCCCAAAAAGUUGCCCCCUACUCGUUUCGAGUUGUCCGCUCGGGUACACAGUCUAAAAUACCGACCCAAGUUUUGAACAUAGAAUAACGUGACUUCAUGCCGAAUCCCUAGUAGGAGUGCUUAUUUACAUCAUAUUGCAUUUGACUUAGGGGACUCAACACAAGGGCUAGGAAUCUGAAAUGAAAAGUCCAUCCUGAUGCAUCCUAUUUGUCUACCGUGCAUUUAUAUAUUUCAGGCCUGCAUGCUGAUUGGCUUUUGCAUAUCGAGAAAAUUGUGAAAUUGAAAAGAGAAAAAUAGCAAAAUAGCAGUUAGGGAAUUAAUUCAUUAUUUUAGAAAAAGCCCAAUGCCCAAUUACUGUCAAAACUCUGCCAAAUUUUGAAAAAUAAAAAACAAAAAUAUUUUAUUUUCAAUAGUUUGUGUUUCUAAAAGCGAAGGAAAAAUAGAAAAGUGUCUUUUAUUUUUGAAAAAUUGUUUGCUGAAAAAAAGAACAAAAAGAGUCUUUAUUUUGGGAAAAUAGGUUGUUUUCUUAAAAAUGAAAAGAAAAAAAAGAGAGUGGUUAUUUUGUCUCAUUUUAAAAAAUAGAAAAAGAAAAAUAGUUGUCUUGCUAUGGAAAUUGAAAUUGAAAAAAGGUCUUGCUUUUGAAAGUUGUUUUUUAUAUUUUGAAAUGCCAAAAAUGAAAAUGAAAAAGUCUUGUUUUAAAAUAGUCUGUUUAAUUUUCCGAACUACGCAUGGUUUGAUUCUCACAGAGCGUGAGAUAUGUAGGCUACCCUCAUUGGGUCCAACCUUCCCUUUACAAAAAUAGCCAAAAAAAUGUCUUAGUUUUAAAUUUUGGCAUGAAUAAGUCGGGCGAUGUCGUUUUUGUCAAAAAUAGCCAAAUGUUCCCAAACGUAACGCCGGAAGGCUAACUUUGCACGAAUGGCCACUUUGGUCAUGUUUUAUUUUUGACCCUCAUAGCCUUAAAUCUUCGUCCCCAAGGCGCUGAAAGGUCGUGUUCGUAAUACCGAGUAUUUUAUAUGGAAAACAAGAAAAGAUUCAUAAAUAAGUCAGGGUAACGUCGUUUUGUCAUAAAUAGCCGAAUGUUCCCGGCCAUUUUUGGUCAAUUUUGAUUUUUUACCGGUUGACUCACACAGCCUUAAAAUCUUCAUCCCUGAAGUGCUCAAAAGCCGUGUCCAAAAACCGAUUCUUUCAUUUUAAAUUUGGGGAAACAGAAAAUAGUUAGAUUUGUUUUGAGUCGAAUAAAAGUUUUUCCUUUGCUUAAUCACUUUAAUAAAUGUGCGGGAUGAGCACGAUUCAAAAUGAACCUUUUUCAAUAAUGACUCAAAUCCCUUUCGAGUUGUGGCUAUGGUGGGAUGAUUUAGGCGGGGAAGGGCAAGAUGGAGUAAUGAAAUACCUGAAAGAUCUUACGGGUUUAUUGGACAUCAAACCUCGGGGGGAUAUUAUGAGAGCACUGGUCACCUGCCGGGUACAUCGGAAGUGUUGAAGCCCAUUAAGGUUAUAAUACUUGAUUGCUCCCAGAGUCGUCACUAUGCACCAGUUUUUAGACUCAUUAAAAAUACCCAGGACAGUCCAUAACCCAGAGACUUGGCAACAAGAUUUUGUCAUCCGCGCUUCAUAUAUGAUAGAUAUGGUCAUGUCGGUGGGUUCAACAAUCCGAGUUACAAACUGUGUAGCAGAAGUAACCGUCAAAAGUGGGAUGAACAUAGACGAGUGGUUUUCAUGAUAACCUUCUUGGGUCUCUUGGUGUUCCCAAGAAAAGACGAAAACAUUGACUUAUAGGUGGCCGGGGUCAUCAGUACUAUGUUCACUCUGGAGAAAAGCACUCUUGCGUAUGAUAUUAUCUGAUAUCUUCCGAUCUCUCACAAUCUGUAAAGCCGGAGGGAACUUUUUCGAGGGGUGUAACUUGUUGAUGCAGAUGUGGAUGACCGAGCACCUGUGUCAUCGUGCCCAGUUCCUGAGCCAUGGUUCCUCUGAUAAAACUUGCAUAGAAGAGUUCUACACAAGAAUUAAUGGGAUUUCUCUACCCAAGGGAGUCACAACCUGGACAUCAUUCUUCCGGACCCUCACUGCCAACCAAAUACAGUGGACACUCGGAUGGUUGCUUGUUGAUGAUAUGCUGGUAGCUAGGCCCCACUUUCUCUUGAUGGGACUUAAAAGCAUCUAGCCCUAUGCACCAUAUCAUGUCUUGAGACAACUGGGGAGGAAUCAAAUAGUGCCAAAAGACGAAGAUCUGAGUACCCAAGUGGUUGAAAAUGGCCCUGACAGUCAGUUCCCUGAAGAAAAAGUUCGCCAGAACUUGAGUGAAUGUCAGCAUUUGGUGGUGAACAUUUGUGUAUUGGAUAUGGAUAAAGGUGAAGUUUCCCCUGGGUAUCACGCUUGGUAUAGAGGCGACGUGUCAUGUAGGAGUCGGCUAAAAGACCUUAUCUUAUAGAUUUUACCGAGUCAUCGCAGGAGCAAUGGGAUUGGUUUGCAAAAGAAGAAGGUUAUCAAGCUUAAAUUGGCAAGCUGAAACAACAAAUUGAAAGUCUGAAAUAUUAGAAUAGUGUGCAAGUUACUGCUAAUCAGGGUAAAAAAUAGGUUGGCCCAAGAAAACAAGGCUUUUAGGGCUCAAAUCCAGCAAAUGAGAAUAGCCGCUGAUAAACAACCGAGGAGCCGGUCGGAUGAGCGUUUGAUAAAGGGGUUGAAAAAUGAAAUCAAUAAGUGUCGGGAUAAGGUGGAUAACUCCAAGAGUACUAUAUCAUGGCUCAAGGCACAGUGGGGAAAAAGAAUAGAAGAACGCGCCCAUUACUUGCAACAGUUGAAGAAGGAUUAUGAAAAAACCAUUGCCAGUCUAAAAAGAAAGGUGGUCACCCUUGAGGACAAAGCGGGUAAGCAGGCUAAAGAUUUUCAAACUGAAAGCGGGCACUGCUAUGAUUUGCUGGCCCGAGUGGAAUUAGAAAUACAGUAGGUAUAGGAUCAACGUCUUUAGGAUUCGCAUGUGUUGGAAGCUCGCAAUAAUCAAAUAAGGCGAUUGCUUAUAGAAAAGGGUCAAAUAAGAGAUAAGACUGAGGCCAUUGCCCAUGCCAUUCUUAGGAGAUACAGGGCAUGUGAAUACAUGGCCCGCACUACUUUCUUCUUAGUAGUGAUGAUCUAUGUUAAGAAGACCAUGUAUGAGUUGGAGCUACUGGAAAGGGAUUUGGCACCUAAGCCCGUGUCCAGGACGAAUGAUGCCCCGCGGGCACCCAUUUUUGAAGCCCUAAUGUAUUCAUAGAUCGAGUCUGUAUUUUCCAUUUUAUAGUCUGUUGUUGGUCUGUCUGUUUUCUUUUUGCGUCCGAGUAUGCUAGUAUGUUUGGAGUCUGUAUUGAGUUUAGCUGGUGUCUGUUACUUUCCUUUUCAAAAUGAUUAGUUUGUAAGAGAAUGUUUGGUAAUGAAAAACUUGAAAAUUCCCAAAAAUUAUUUUUUUAUUUUUGCACUUAUCUUCACGAACUACGCCUCUGAUUCGUGCGGGGUCAUGAUACAUAGGCAAUCUCCAUAGGAUUUGACCAUAACCAAAUAAAAAAGAAAAAAAUAGAAAGUAAGAAGAAAAACAAUAGAGGAUGGGAAAAGAAAGAGAAAACAAAGGAGUGGCAAAACAAAAUUAAAAAAAUAAAGAAAGAAGAGAGAAAGAAAAGAGCGUAAAAACAAGAAAGGGAUAUAAUGAAAAAGGAAAAGAGGAAAGAAAGAAAGAAAAUAAGAGAUAAAAGAAACAAAAGAAAGAGAGAAAGUUUAAAGGGCGGGAUGAUGCACGCGGUUGAGCAAAGGCAAAUAAGAAAUGGUUGACUGUAUAGGUGCAUUCAUGCCAAUGUGCGGUUAUCCAAUUUGUUAAAACCUAAUCGCAAACAAAGUGGUUGUCUAAUGUGAUGAGUUCAGGAAGGUGGUUAGUUUUUGGCAUUCUGGCAACCCACUCUUACAAAACCCGAUCAAAAAACAAGCUGAAAAUGACUGAACAUGAAUCUGAUAUCAGGCCUGGUCUCAGGGGCAUCCAGCGCCAGUGUAUCCCGCCACAUCCCGCCUUUAGUUCAGGUUCAGGAGCCUCCCACUGCCCACUCAUCUCCAGCCUUCCCUUACUACACACAGGGUAAUGGCACUAGUUCUUAUGCUCCCCAACCUCCACCACCAAAACAAAACCCUUAUCCACCCAUCGCUCAUGUCUUUGUGGCACCUCCAUCCGCCACACUGCAAAUAUUAUCCAGCGAGCCUUUGUUUCAAACCCACGAUGACCAAUACUAUCCCCCUGAAUCUACUUUUAAGGCCCCUGAGCCGUACUCUUAUAUCCCUCACUUUGAGCUCCCGGCAGAAACUGAAAAGCCGUCUAAGAACCCAAAAUAGGAAGAAGUGCUCGGAAAGACUAAAAUCCUUGAGCUGUCCUUCAGGAAUAUGCAUGAAUUGGACAAUCAAGUCAGUGUGGAGUAUAAAGUUCUUUGUCUGUUCCCCGAUGUUCAGCUACCCGGGGGUUCAAAAUGCAAAAAUUUGAUCUAUAUGAUGGUCACGACGAACCACUAGCACAUUUGCGAGGUUUCUGUACUAAGAUGAGAGGGGCCAGAGGAAAGACGAACUAUUGAUGGAAUACUUUGGGCAGAGUUUGAGCGGGUCGGCACUAGAAUGGUAUAUGCGCCAAGAUCCUAGUCGGUGGUAUACUUGGGAUGACCUAGCACAAGCAUUUGCUAGUCACUUCCAAUAUAAUCUUUAGAUCAUCCCACACCGGCUGUCGUUGAUGAAACUCAAGAAAAAACCUAGGGAAAGCUUCAGGGAAUACAAGUUCCGCUUGAGAGAGUAAGCCGCAAGGGCUGACCCACUGAUGAGGGAAACUGAAAUGGUGGAUUACUUUUUGAAGGCUUUGGAACCAACAUACUUUGGUCACUUGGUGACGGCAAUCGGUAAAUCUUUUUACGAGUUUAUGAAGAUGGUAGCCAUGGUCGAGGAUAGUUUGAAGUUCAAUAACAUUGUGAGCAAUUCAACGAUUAAAACAACCACUCAGGCCAUUCAAAGCAUCACUAGUGGUGUGCUUGGAAAGAAGAAAAACGAAGAAGUCGCAACAGUUAAAGCUAUUACUUGGUCCAAGUCCAGCAACCUCCAGCCUAUGACAACCAACCCAGACCCCACUACCCACAUUACCCAUACACCCCAUAUGACCCUCUAAAACAUUACUAUCCACCACUAGAGCCACAUUUUUCUGUCCACCAUGCACAGAAAUAUACCCAUCCUCCGGCACAGCCGCAAUGGUGUGCACCGGUUCCUCAAAACACAUAUCCACCUCCAAAAAACAUAUAUCCACCCCCAGGGCUUACAGACCAGGAGCCGGUCUUCGCCCAAACCAAGCUUUUGGAAAGGUCCAGAAACAGAAAACAUUUACUCUGCUAGGAGAAUCUUACACCACUCUUUUUUGUAGAUUGAAGCAACUGGGAAUAUUGAGCCCCAAAUGCAAAACCGCCCUCCCAGAAACCUGGAACAUCCGGCCAGUUGUGAGUAUUGUUUAGGGAUGCCAGGGCAGGAUACUGAGAAAUGUUGGAAGUUGAAAAAUGGGGUGCAAUAGCUUAUUGAUAAUCACAGUAUUGAAGUUCAUGCCCCGGAGGUGCCAAACAUUAAUCAAAACCCGUUUCCAGUUCAUUAUAAGACUCACAUGAUCGAAUUAGUGCAUAAGGGAGGAGAGCUGAAGAAACCCUCACAAAUAGUCAUGAUGAUCCAUUCUAGUGAAUAUAAGGUGAACGAAAAGGCAGCUAGUGUGAAACCUUGUGGUUCAGUCAAAAGGGAUAGAUGACAAGCCAAUUGUGGUGGUUGGGAAAGGGUUGUCUGUUGUUGCAAAGAAGGCAGAUCCAGUCAAGUUAGUGGUACAAGGGGUAUCAAGUGCACCCAUGGUAGUUGUGAAGGGCCAUAUAUGGAAUUGGUUUUCAUAAAGCCGGUAGUACAGUUACCCGUGACUGAUAGUAAAUCUGUUCCAUAGAAGCAUGAAAAGGUAGUGGUGACAUACAAAGAAAAGGAAAUUAAGGAAGAGAUUUGUGAGGCACAAGGAUUAACUCGAUCGGGAUGUUGUUUUGCUCCCGAAGAGUUGAGAAAGGCAAGGGUCCUCAAGCAAAAUUCAAGGCCAGUCAAGAAGGCUGUGACGGAAGAAGAGGCGGAAGAAUUUUUGAAAAAGAUGAAAGUAACGGAUUAUUUCAUUGUUGUGCAAUUGAGAAAAACACUAGCCCAAAUCUCACUGUUGUCAUUGCUUAUUCAUUUAGAGGCUUUGAUGAAGAUAUUGAAUGAAGCUCAUGUCCCCAAUAAAAUCUUGGUGAAUCAUUUGGAGAUAAUCGCAAAAACAAUCUUUGAAGUGAACAGGGUAACAUUUUUCGAUGAUGAACUGCCCUUGGAGGGUACAUAACAUAAUAGAGCUCUAUACUUGACAGUAAAGUUCGAAGAGUCAUUAGUCACUCGGGUGUUGAUUGAUAAUGGAUCUAGUGCCAUUAUCUGUCCAUUGUCUAUACUGAACAAGCUGAAGAUUCAUGAUGACAGAGCUCAUAAGAAUAGUGUCUGCAUUAGAGGAUUUGACGGUGGUGGUACGGACACAGUGGGGGAUGUCAUACUUGAAUUGACAAUUCGUCCGGUCGAGUUCACAAUAGAAUUUCAAGUGGUAGACGUGGCAGUGUCUUAUAACCUGUUGUUGGGGCGACCAUGGAUCCACGCUACCAAAAUGGUGCCUUCUACACUGCAUCAAAUGGUCAAGUUCGAGUGAGAUAGACAAGAGGUCGUGGUACAUGGGGAAGACAACACAUGCGCUGUAAGUGAUGCCAUCGUGCCUUCAUAGAGACUGAUGAUGAUAAGGGUCGUGGGUUUAUCAGGCCUUCGAUACAGUCCCGGUGGACAAGGUGCCGGAGGGUAAAAGUAUUCCAUUCCACAGACUAGUAGAUGCAACCAUCAUGGUAGUUUCAGAGAUGCUAAGUAAUGGGUUCGUGCCAGGAAAAGGUCUGGGGGCUGAUCUCCAGGGCAUUGUUCCACCUGUUUCUUUGCCCAUGAAUCUGGAAACCUUUGGGUUGGGGUUCAAGCCAAAGGAGGCAAAUGUCAGAAGGGCUCAUAAAUUGAAAAAGAAAGCUUGGGUUCUUCCCAAACAGAUUCCACGCCGGUCCAGGUUCUAUGUCAAGCCGGUGUCAGAAAGCAGUUAUUGGCAAAGGUGUCGGGUCCACUGAUUGGCGCAGAGGGGAACUUGUAUAUGGUGUUCGGUAUUUGCCAAAGUGAACAUGAUUGAAGCUGGGGAAGGUUCAAGCAAAGCAGAUAUCCAGUACAUCGGACCACAUGCUAAUGACAACAAUUGGGAAGCCACUCCUCUACCAACUCGGAGGGAGUCAUCGUAGUGGGUUUUGUUUUCCUUUUGUUCAGCUGGAUUAUUCCAGGGUUGGUAAUUCAGUUGCUAUGUUUCGUCCGUUUGGAUGAGUUAAAACCCUGUUGUCUUUAUAUUCAAUGAAAUGCAAUUUUUCUUCUUACUUCAUUCCUAAUUUUGUUUUCAUUUUUCUUUUCUUUUUUGUACAGUUCUUUUUAUGCUGAUAUCAAUGACAUGACAUGCAUGAGGAAUCUUUGGCCCAGUUUUAAAAGCCAAUCUAACUCAGAAAUAAUAAUACAAGAAAUCGAGUGUGAUGAUGAGGUGGAAUGUGACGAUGACGAGUCCUAUGAGGAAAUUAGUAAAGAAUUAAGUCACUUUGAAGAAAAACCCAAACCUAACCUAAAUGACACAGAACCGGUUAAUCUAGGGGACCAAGACAAUGUUCGUGAAACUAAAAUAAGUUGUCAUCUAGAGCCACAACUCAAGGAGGAGAUAGUCAAAGCAUUGUUCUAGUACAAGGAUAUUUUUGCAUGGUCGUAUGAUGAUAUGCCGGGUCUAAGUACCGAUUUAGUGGUUCACAAAUUGCCCACAGAUCUGGCACACCCUCCCGUCAAGCAGAAGCUGAGGAAGUUUAAAAAGAGCAUACGUGUAAAGAUCAAAGAAGAGAUUGCCAAGCAGUUUGAUGCAAAGGUCAUUCGGGUUACACGGUAUCCCACCUGGUCAGCUAAUGUUGUGCCAGUGCCAAAGAAAGAUGGUCCCACUGAUCCGACACUCCCUCCUGUCAAGCAGUAGCUGAGAAAGUUCAAAACAUACAUAAGUGUAAAGAUCAAAGAAGAGAUUACCAAGAAGUUUGAUGCAAAGGUCAUUAGGGUUACACGGUAUCCCACCUGGUUAGCUAAUGUUGUGCCUGCGCCGAAGAAAGAUGGCAAUACCAGGGUGUGUGUCUAUUAUCGGGAUAUUAACAAGGCGAGCAAAAAGACAAUCUCCCACUGCCGAACAUCCAUAUAUUGAUUGAUAAUUGUGCCAAACAUGAGAUUGGUCUUUUGUGGAUUGUUACACAAGUUAUUAUCAGAUUUUAAUGGAUGAGGAUGAUGCAGAAAAGACAUAAUUCAUCACGCCAUGGGGAACGUACUGUUAUCCGAUAAUUUCGUUUGGUUUGAAAAAUGUCGGGGCCACUUAUAUGAGGGCAGCGACAAUAUUCCAUGAUAUGAUACACAAGGAAAUCGAGGUGUACGUGGAUGAUGUGAUCGUGAUAUUUAAAUAGCUGUCUGACCAUGUCAGGGAUUUGAGGAAGUUCAUUCAAAGGCUUCGCAUAUACAAUCUUAAGCUCAAUCCUGCAAAAUGUGCUUUCGGAGUGCCAUCUGGGAAGAUUAACUACACCCGUCGAAGAUCAAAGCUAUUCAGGAAUUGUCGCCUCCAAGAAACAAAACUGAGGUGAUGAGUUUGUUGGGAAUAUUGAAUGAUAUUAGUAGGUUCAUUGCUCAUCUCACGACAACUUGUGAGACAAUUUUGAAAUUGUUAAAGAAAGAUGAUGCAGUCAAAUGGACUGAUGAAUGUCAAGAGGCUUUUCAUAAGAUAAAGGGGUAUUCGUCAAACCCACCGUGUUGCUCCCGCCAGAACCGGGGAGGCCUUUGAUUCUAUAUCUGACGGUUUUGGAUAAUUCAAUUGGUUGUGUACUGGGGUAGCAAGAUGUUACAGGCAGGAAGUUGCAGGCUAUAUAUUAUCUCAGCAAGAAGUUCACAUCUUACGAGGUCAAGUAUACUCAUCUGGAGAGGACGUGUUGCACCCUAACUUGGGUGCACAAAAGUAGAAACAUUAUUUGUCGUCCUACAUUACUUACCUCAUAUCUCUCUUGGACCCAUUGAAUUAUAUUUUUUAGAAGCCUAUGCCCACAGGGAGGCUAGCAAAGUGGCAGAUCUUGCUUACGAAAUUCGACAUUAUCUAUGUGACAUAGACUACGAUGAAAGCAUAGGCAUUAAUUGAUCAUUUAGUUGAUAAUCCAGUCGAUGAAGAUUAUGGACCUUUGAAAAAUUAUUUCCCUGAUGAAGAGGUGAUGCGCAUUGAUAAGUUGGAACAAGUUGAGAAGCCGGGAUGGAAGAUCUUCUUUGAUGGGGCUGCAAAAAUGAAAGGCGUGAGAAUAGAAGCAGUACAUAUGUCUCAAAUAGGUACGCACUAUCCUGUUAUGGAUCAACUUCGUUUCUAUUGUUCGAACAACAUGGCGGAAUUGAGGCGUGUAUCUUGAGACUGAGAUUAGCUCUAGAUAUGGGUGUACAGUAAGUCUUGGUCAUGGGUGACUCGGACCUACUGGUACACCAAAUUCAAGGAGAAUGGGAAACACGGGGUUUGAAGCUUAUACCAUACCGGCAAUGUUUGCAUGAGCUAUGUUAAAAGUUCCAUUCUAUUGAGUUCAAGCAUAUUCCAAGGAUUCAUAACGAGGUUGUCUAUGCUUUGGUUACUUUGGCGUCAAUGUUACAUCUUUCGGAUAAGGCUUAUGUGGACCCGUUGCAGAUUCAGGUCCGUGAUCAGCAUGCUUAUUGUCAUAUGGUAGAAGAAGAGCUCGACGGUGAGUCGUGGUUUCACGAGAGAAUGGAAUAUAUCAGAAUGGGGGUAUACCCGGUACAGUCCACUGGUGAUAAAAAAAUAACGAUUAGACGACUGUCAAGCGGAUUUCUCCUUAGCGGUGGAGUUUUGUAGAAAAGAACUCCAGAUCUUUUGACUGUUGAGGUGCACGGAUGCAAGGCAAGCCACAAUUAUCAUGUCUGAGGAACAUUCUGGAGUCUGUGGACCGCACAUGUGCUAGAUAUGUUUUGGCAAAGAAGAUCCUACGGCGGGUUAUUAUUAGCUUACUAUGGGCGGGAUUGUAUUAGUUUCGUAAGCAAAUGCCAUUAGUGCUAGGUGCACGGAGAUUUGAUUCAUUCUGCGCCAUCAGAGCCACAUAUAAUGUCCACACCAUGGCCUUUUGUUGCAUGGGGCAUGGAUGUUAUUAGACAAAUUGAUCCAGCAGCAUCAAAUGGGCACAGAUUUAUUCUGGUGGCUAUAGACUAUUUUACCAAAUGGGUGGAAGCUAAGAUGUUCAAGUCUGUCACUAAGAAAGCUAUGGUGGAUUUCGUGCAUUCGAACAUUAUUUGUCGGUUUGGGAUACCGAAUGUGAUUAUCACAAACGAUGGGUCUAAUCUUGAUAGUCAUUUGACGAAGGAGACAUGUGAGUAGUUCAAGAUUACCCAUAUGCAUUCUACUCCAUACCAUCCAAAGGAAAAUGAUGCAGUUGAAGCAGCCAACAAGUAUAUAAAGGAAACACUCCGAAAGAUGGUUGAAGGGUCUAGACAGUGGCAUGAGAAGUUGCCUUUUGCAUUGUUGGGGUACUGCACCACCGUUCGUACUUUGGUGGGGGCGACUCCUUAUUCAUUGGUAUACGACACUGAGGCAGUAAUACCCGUAAAAGUGGAAAUCCCAUCCCUUUGAAUCAUGUCGGAGGCUGAGAUCGACGAUGAUGAAUGGGUGAAAACCCCCCUUCAAAAAUUGAGUUUGAUUGACGAGAAGAGAUUGGCAUCAGUGUGUCAUGGUCAGUUGUACAAGCAAAGAAUGGCAAGAGCGUACAAUAAGAAAGUGCGUCCGAGGAAGUUUUAAAUCGAACAGUUGGUGUUGAGAUGUAUUUUGCCUCAUUGGGCUAAAGCAAAGGGAAAAUUCGCUCCAAAUUGGCAGGGACCAUUUGUUGUAACCAGAGUGUUGUCUAAUGGUGCAUUAUAUUUGACAGAUGUAGAAGGAAAAUGUGUAGAAAUGGCCAUCAAUUCCGAUGCGGUUGAGAGAUACUAUGCAUGAUUUCUUUAUUCUCAAUGUACUUGUUUGUAUUUGGCAUAUUUUAAAGAUUGAAAUGAUGAAGGCGUCUUGUUCUGCUAUCCAAACACUUUUAUCCUUUGUCAUUCCCUUUGAGCCUACUUAUUUUCUUUCAUACACCUCUUUCGGAAUCGAUGGCACAAUUAAGAAGCACAAGUGCCACAACUAAGUAAAUGAAAAGAAAGAAGAAAAGGAAAAGAAAGGAGAAGAAAAGAAAAGAAUAGAAAAGAAAAGAGAAAAGAAGAAAAGAAAAUGAAAAGAAAGGAAAGAAGAAAAGAAAAACAAAAGGAAAAGAAAAAUUACAAAUAAAAACAAAGUAGUUCUAUGAUGUGAACUAUGAUUGACUUGAUCUCUAAUGGGUACUUAGGCAGCCUCUCUGAAACCAAAAAAAAAAUUCAAAAGUUCCCAAGCAAGAAACUGGGGCAAAUGUUGUGAUUGUUGUGAAAGAUUGGAUUCCAAAAAUUGUAAUUUGAACCUAUUUGAAUUGUUUUUGAGCUUUUUAUAUACUUUCUUUCUAACACAUCCAAAAGCCUACAUUACGGUCCAAAGAAAUAUCUACUGAUCAGUCUUUGGGAAAUGCCAAGUCAAGCAGGUAGGACUCAUGUCUGAGGCAACACUCUGGUUCAAGCAGGAAAAAUUAAAAAUGAGAGAGUCUUAUUGGUGAAAGCAUUCACAGGCAUCCUAAGGCGACGGAAGCUGAGAGAAAUAAAAUGAGAGAGUCUUAUUGAUGAAAACCUUAACGGGCAACGUAAGGUGAUGAGAAGUUGAGAGAAAAAAUAAAUGAUAGAGUCUUAUUGGUGAAAACCCUCACGGGCACCUUGAGCCGAAAAUGAGUUGAGAAAUGGUUAAUUAGCAAAAGGUAUGUAGGUGGAAAACUGUUUUGAGGAACCGCAAGAUGAACAAAGUUAAGGUUUGGGUAAAUUAAUCAAGUGAUGGAAAUUCUGGGGCAACAAAGUAUGGCAAUUGAAAGCUAGUAAGUUGGACAGAUUGGGCCGAUUAAUCCAAAACGCAUGUCAUGACCAUUGGUACCAACUGUUCCUGUCAGAUAAGUUUCUUUUCCUUCUCUUUUUAAACAGUCAUCUGUUUUUGGAUUUUUCUCAUCCUUAACUCAAAAAAUUAUUGCAUUUCAUUUUAUUUUGAGAGUUUUAUUUGUCUAAGAUGUUUCAAUGUCAGUUUUAUUCAAUGUAGGGGGAAAUGAUUUCUGAGCUCACUACUAGCUUCCUAAAAUGGUAAAGCAUAAUGUGGUCCGAGCAUGUCAACAACAGCACGAAUAAACGUGAAGUAUGGGAAGUCGCGGGAAGUUUCAUUGGUGGAAUAAUUGGAAAAUGUUGUAGGAAAUGUAAAGGUUCAAACAGAAAGGGUCAUAAAAGUGAAACAACAGCAUGGUCACAAAACAUUCAGGUUGUCAAAAGUUGGGGAAUUUGGAAAGUCAGUCAGAAAGUCAAGCGGUUCAGGGUCAGCUCGAGGAAGCUAGUCAACACAAAGCAAGGCAGUAGGAGGAUUUUUUCAGUAAGAAUGACAUCAACUAACCACAAUUUUAAACUAACGAAAUUUUCUUUGAUUUAAACAGGGGCAGAAAAGUUGGUUGUUCAAGAGGAAUUCUCCAUGAUCAGGUUUGACCGCAAGUGUGGUAUGAUUAAAAUACAAGAUAACGAGGAAUAACAUAGGGAAAUGUAAGUUAGAUUCAAAGUUUGAAUGUUUAGGACAAAAUUAUAUUUUUGAAGUUGGGAUGCCGCCAAUAUAAACAGAGGAAUACAUAUCAUUCUUUAAAAUUUGAAGUUAUAUUUCAGUCUUUACGUUUUAAAUUUACAUUUCACUCUUUAAGUUUUAAAUUUACAUUUCAGUCUUUAAAUUUUCAAGCUUUGAAGUUGGGAGCCCGUCCAUAUAAUAGAGCAAUACAUUCCAGUCUUUAAAUUUUAAGUUUUGAAGUUACAUUUCAGCCUUUACAUUUUAGGUUUUGAGUAUGGUAACAAAUUCCCAGUUUUCCAAACUGGGGCAGAAGUUUUCUUUGUUGUGUCUAUUUUUAUGAAGUUGGGAGCCCGCCCAUAUAACAGAGUAAUACAUUUAAGUUCAACAAUUUGAAGAAAAGGAACAACAUCUCAGUUUGCAAACUGGAAAUGGAAACAAUGGAUUUUGUAAAGAAAAGACAAGACAACAAGGCAAAAAGGAAGUACAAGAGCAAAUUUGAAGAAUUUAGAUAGGACCUUUGUAAUUCAUAGUUCAUAGUUUAGGCUAGCUUCUUUUUAUUUUGACAUGGUGUAAUAAAGGAGGUCAGCAAGCAGUAGCAGCAGCAAUCGCAGUGAAAUCACGGCUCCUGGUAAUCCCAGCUACCAGACACUCCCGAACUACAGUGACCUGAUUCUUGUUUAGCUCAGGAUAUGUAGGCAUCCUCUAAAGCAGGGUGCAGUCAAACUUUUCCAAAAUUGCUUCACACGGAGUAUUCAAACGGGCAAAAUCCGCUCGUUUCUGCUCACUUAUCUUUUCACGAAAAAUCUUCGUAUUUUCAGGCAAAGAGGGGCAGUUGUGAGCACGUUAUUUUUGCCCUAUAUGUGAAUUAUUCCCAAAAAAAUCAAACAAAAUGAUUUCUUUCUUUAUUUUGCAAUUCUGUGAAUUUUUGUUUUAUUUUCUGUUAAUUAUUUGCAUUUUAUUUGUGCAUUUAAAAUCAUAUGAAAUUACAAAAAUACAUAUGGCAUUUGUGUGAGAUUUAUUUUCUUAUUUUCAUUGUUAGUUGUUAGUUUAAAAUUGUUUACAUGUAAGGAAAAUGGAAAAAGGUUAUUUGCAUUUUUGCUUUAAUUGGUGGAAUUUAUUUUAAUUUUAAUUCGAAAUUAGAAAUUAGUUAGUUUUGGAAACUUAAAUAAAUAUCGUAUUAGAGUCAAAUGGGUCUUUGAUUUUAUUUUUGUCAUUUUAGUAAAAAUAAAAAAAGAGAGUAUAUAGAAUACAAAAUAAAAAAAGGAGAAAAUAGUGUAAAGUGAUUAAAAGGGAAAAAUAAAAGAAAUAGGAAGAUGGGGCUGCUGAAUAGAGCUAUGCCCUUGGUUAUCAAUUAAGGCCCAAAUCGGUUUUGACUACACCCAGCCUGGCCCAAACACCUCUCCACCCGACCCAAUCCAUGUCCUCAUCAAAACGACCCCUUGUAAUGCAUGACAAAUCCUCGCCGUCGAGGUUAUCAAAUCUAACGGCCAGGAACUCACCCCUUAUUAAUAUAAAUCUGUCCGAACAAGCUUAACCCCUCCCCCCAUUUUUCUCCCUCAUCGUCUCCACCAAACAGCCCUAUCUCUAAGAACCAUAAUUACGCUGCCAUGAAAUCCCUAAGCCGUCGAUGGCGGCGCCGGUCACCAAACCUUACCCCAUUAACACCCAAUGUUUUCCUUCUCAUCUCUAUCUAAAUAUAUAACUCACUUCCUUCGAAUCACAACUCAGCUGCUCGAAUCUUGAUUUAAAGAUCAGACUCAAAACCCUAGUUCAUCAAAACUUCCCCAAAUUUACACCCUACAAUCCCUGGACCUCCCUCACCCUAAUACCUAACUAAAUCCCUUCAAACCCCAUUGAAGUUUGACGAAUAUUGAAUCUAGGGUUCACACGUUUCAAGGCUGUUGUGAAGAUUUUCAAGUCGAUGAUUUCUAGCUAAUAUUAGAAAUAUAUUUUUGACAAAAUAGAUGUAUAAUAUUAACCAAAAAUUAUUUUCAGACGGUUUUCUUAUGAAGUCCAAAAUCAGUAAG